rnacentral:rRNA from 1 species
GAUGAACGCUGGCGGCGUGCCUAAUACAUGCAAGUCGAGCGAACAGACGAGGAGCUUGCUCCUCUGACGUUAGCGGCGGACGGGUGAGUAACACGUGGAUAACCUACCUAUAAGACUGGGAUAACUUCGGGAAACCGGAGCUAAUACCGGAUAAUAUAUUGAACCGCAUGGUUCAAUAGUGAAAGACGGUUUUGCUGUCACUUAUAGAUGGAUCCGCGCCGCAUUAGCUAGUUGGUAAGGUAACGGCUUACCAAGGCGACGAUGCGUAGCCGACCUGAGAGGGUGAUCGGCCACACUGGAACUGAGACACGGUCCAGACUCCUACGGGAGGCAGCAGUAGGGAAUCUUCCGCAAUGGGCGAAAGCUUGACGGAGCAACGCCGCGUGAGUGAUGAAGGUCUUCGGAUUGUAAAACUCUGUUAUUAGGGAAGAACAAAUGUGUAAGUAACUAUGCACGUCUUGACGGUACCUAAUCAGAAAGCCACGGCUAACUACGUG